rnacentral:rRNA from 1 species
UACGGGGGGGGCAAGCGUUGUUCGGAAUUACUGGGCGUAAAGGGCUCGUAGGCGGCCAACUAAGUCAGACGUGAAAUCCCUCGGCUUAACCGGGGAACUGCGUCUGAUACUGGAUGGCUUGAGUUUGGGAGAGGGAUGGCGGAAUUCCAGGUGUAGCGGUGAAAUGCGUAGAGAUCGGGAGGAACACCAGUGGCGAAGGCGGCCUACCUGGACCAGCACU